AGGGAAUAUUGGACAAUGGAGGCAACUCUGAUCCAGCCAUCCCGCGUGAAGGAUUAAGGCCCUAUGGGUUGUAAACUUCUUUUCUCUGGGAAUAAAAACCGGGAUUUAUCCUGGCUUGAAGGUACCAGAGGAAUAAGCACCGGCUAACUCCGUGCCAGCAGCCGCGGUAAUACGGAGGGUGCAAGCGUUAUCCGGAUUCACUGGGUUUAAAGGGUGCGUAGGUGGUUUUGUAAGUCAGUGGUGAAAGCCCGGAGCUCAACUCCGGAACUGCCAUUGAUACUGCUUAACUUGAAUCAAGUAGAGGUGGAUGGAAUAAUACAUGUAGCGGUGAAAUGCUUAGAUAUGUAUUAGAACACCGAUUGCGAAGGCAGUUCACUAUGCUUGUAUUGACACUGAGGCACGAAAGCGUGGGGAUCAAAC
rnacentral:rRNA from 1 species